GACUCUCGGCAACAGAUAUCUUGGCUCUCACAUCGAUGAAGAACGUAGCGAAAUGCGAUACCUGGUGUGAAUUGCAGAAUCCCGCGAACCAUCGAGUCUUUGAAUGCAAGUUGCGCCUGAGGCCACUCGACCGAGGGCACGCCUGCCUGGGCAUCA
rfam:Triticum urartu cultivar G1812 contig855342, whole genome shotgun sequence.